rnacentral:rRNA from 1 species
CGGGGUGAGUAACGCGUGGGUAACCUGCCUCAUACAGGGGGAUAACAGUUAGAAAUGACUGCUAAAACCGCAUAAGCGCACAUUGUCGAGUGACAGAGUGUGAAAAACUCCGGUGGUAUGAGAUGGACCCGCGUCUGAUUAGCUAGUUGGUGAGGUAACGGCCCACCAAGGCGACGAUCAGUAGCCGGCCUGAGAGGGCGACCGGCCACAUUGGGACUGAGACACGGCCCAAACUCCUACGGAAGGCAGCAG